UGUCUUUAUGGCAAAUGUGAGAUGCAGUGUAUGGAAUGUCAAAUUUCUAGUAUGAGAAAUUAACGAUUUAAGUCCUUCUUAAAUGAGGCCAUUUACCCAAAGAGGGUGCCAGGCCCGUAUAACGUUAAUGAUUACUAGAUGGCAUUUCCAAAGAGUCGUGUUGCUUGAUAGUGCAGCACUAAGUGGGUGGUAAACUCCAUCUAAAACUAAAUAUAACCAUGAGACCGAUAGUAAACAAGUACCGUGAGGGAAAGUUGAAAAGAACUCUGAAUAGAGAGUUAAAUAGUACGUGAAACUGCUUAGAGGUUAAGCCCGAUGAACCUGAAUAUCCAUUAUGGAAAAUUCAUCAUUAUGAUUUUAAUAUUUAUAAUAUUAUAAUAAUGGUGUGCAUUUUUUCCAUAUAAGGACAUUGUAAUCUAUUAACACAACAGAUUUAUUAAAAGAUCAUUGGCUUUAGUUUAUUCAAAUUAUUUUUGCUUGCAAAUUUAACAUAGAAUAAAUGCUUUUGAUUUGAUAAAGUGUUGAUAGAUUUAUUAUAUAUAGUGCUUGAAUAUAUAUAUAUUCUAUAAUAGCAUGAUGAUCAAUGAUUGUUAUGUUCAUUAUAUGCACUUAUAUGAUUAACAAUGCGAAAGAUUCAGGAUACCUUCGGGACCCGUCUUGAAACACGGACCAAGGAGUCUAACAUAUUUGCAAGUUAUUGGGAAUUAAAAACCUAAUAGCGAAAUUAACAUAACUUAUAUAAUGGGAUUAGUUUUAAGGUCUAUUUUAUAGUCUUUUAAUUCAAUCCCGGGGCGUUCUAUACAGUUAUGUAUAAUAAUAGUAAUAUUAUUUAUACCUCUAACUAGAGCGUACCUUGAGCAUAUAUGCUGUGACCCGAAAGAUGGUGAACUAUACUUGAUCAGGUUGAAGUCAGGGGAAACCCUGAUGGAAGACCGAAACAGUUCUGACGUGCAAAUCGAUUGUCAGAAUUGAGU
rnacentral:rRNA from 2 species